GCCGGGCCCCAGCCCCGUCCCCGCGGGGCGCUCACCGGCAGGCGGAACUCGAGGUGCUCCUGCGCCAGCAGCAGCAAGUACCGCCGCAGCGCUGCAGCCGGCAGCGCCAUGUCCGGCCAUACCCCGCCUCCCCGGCCCGCAUGCGCUGCCGGGCGGGCCCAGCGCCGCGGCGGGAGCCGGAGAAGCGGGAGGAGCCCGCCCGCCCGCCUUGGGGAGGGAGGCGGCGUUACCAGCCCCACCGCAGCCACCGAACACUGCCCUCAGAAGGUGAAUGCCUCAGUUUUCCAGUGAUACUGUUCUCCAGAGAAUUUAAGUGAAGCCCUGUUUUUUCCUGCUUUUGACUUGAGGAUCCAUGCAAAAUCACUGGCGGUCUUUAUGUGUUGCUCAGCACAGUUUGAAAGUUGCCUGAUGAGGAAAAUCCCCCUGGUCUCACCACAUAUUGGUGUUUCAGCUCCAGAUACUGUUUUCUGCGUAUAAUAACUUCCAUCGUGUGUGUGUGUGAACCUCAUCAGCACAGCAUGGAGUUGUCCACCUUUAAUCAGUGUGCAGGCAGGAGGAAGGCUGCCCAGUCCUGCCUAUGGGUUGGUGCCUCCUGCGGAAUGGUUUGCUCUCUCGCCUGUCAGUAAGCCUGCGCUGAACAGGUCAGCCAGCACAGCGUCAGGUUGUUUGAGAAGAAUGCAGGGCUGCCUGGUGUGAGGAUAAAGUUCUUUAAAAGGCAUCAUUGCAUGAAGACUGACAACACACCCAGGAACCACAGUUACAACCAGCCAUUGAUUUGUUUCCUGCUUGAGUGCCAUAAAGCAUUUUCAAGAAAUGGAAGAAGAUAAAGGGCAGAGUGCUAAAGCUGCCAAUGUGGUGGGUGACUUGAGGAAAAGUUGGCAGACAUGGGCAGAGGAUCACAUUGAGUAUCAGAGAAAGAACCCAUUCAGCAAUGAGGACAGGCUUGCAUCUAAACCUGUGCAUACUCACAGAGGAGAUCCUACCUAUGGGAGACCCCCUGAAGGGUCUCAGACAGAGCAGAGAGGGAAAGAUGCUCAGUCACACGUGGGUAAGGAAGUGGAAGAGCUGUGUUUGAUCAUCAGAAGCACCGGAGAGGUGGGAGAAGAUGGACAUGUGAGCGUAACAUUUGGGCAGCUGUUUGAGACAUACGUGACUAUUUCCAAUAAAGUAGUGGGAAUCUUGUUAAGAGCUAGAAAACACGGUCUGGUUCAUUUUGAAGGUGAAAUGCUUUGGCAAGGAAAAGAUGAUGAUGUGAUCAUCACUUUACUAGAAUAAGGCUUUGUCAUCUAAUGAAUUCUGCUGCGUGGUUCCAUUGUAAAAGUGUAUCUAGAUAACAUCUUUGAAGAGGUUUUCAUUACAGAAUUCUAGCUCAGCUACUUACUGAGACAUGAGCAGGAGAGAAAGUGGGUGAGAAAGCUAAAGAUAUUUUUGUAAAAACGUUAAGAGAUUUGGACAGAAAUCACAAAUGAUGAACUAACCCAUCACACUGCCAUUGGAUUGUCCUUUCAUUGUUAUCAUCCACUACCAAGGAUACCACAGUUCUUCAAAUAACUCUGCUGGCUUACUGCUUUAGGUUACGGAAAGUAUAAAUUACUAACUUGCUACCAUACAACACUGAUUCUUGUAGGCUGUGAAAUACUGUCUAUGGGACUUUGAUUUGUAAAACAUGGAGUUGAAAACUGUUGUGGGAGUUCUUGUACUUCUUCAAAAGAACAGCCCAGUACAAAGCAAAAUUUAGGUUAUUUUCACAUGAUGAUACUGAAUAAAUGGAAGUUCUUUCCAUGAAGUGUAUGAAAAUUCCCAAAUUUUCAGAAAUAUCACAGCAAGGGUAUUUGAUGGUUCCUAAAUGAGUUGCAUCUUGCAUGUAAUUGGAGACAUGCACUGCUUCUGGUAUUUAAUAGCCUGUUCUAAUCAUAUCUUCUUCAAGCCUUCCGUGUCUCCUUUUUCCUCUGUAUCUCACACUUUUUUUACCUGUUCUGUCUUCUAAUGCCAUGUCAGACCGUAGAAAAUCAGAAAGCUCUGCAGUCUUUUUGAUGAAUUCAGCUAUAUCUCUUCUUAGAAGGUAGGGUGCCAAAAAAAAAAAAAGGUGAUGUGAAAGACAACAGAAACUGUAUAUUAGGCACUGUGUGUGUUCAUGAGGAAAAAACAAAAAUCUAGCUAUGUCAUUUGCAAGAGAAGGAGAGUAGAGACCCUGUAGUGCCA